UGGGGAAUAUUGGACAAUGGGGGAAACCCUGAUCCAGCAAUGCCGCGUGUGUGAAGAAGGCCUUCGGGUUGUAAAGCACUUUCGGUGGGGAAGAAAUUCUCAAGGCUAAUACCCUUGAAGCUUGACGUUACCUACAGAAGAAGCACUGGCUAACUCUGUGCCAGCAGCCGCGGUAAUACAGAGAGUGCAAGCGUUAAUCGGAAUCACUGGGCGUAAAGCGCGCGUAGGUGGAUAUUUAAGUCGGAUGUGAAAGCCCCGGGCUUAACCUGGGAAUUGCAUCCGAUACUGGCUAUCUCGAGUAUGGUAGAGGGAAGUGGAAUUUCCGGUGUAGCGGUGAAAUGCGUAGAUAUCGGAAAGAACACCAGUGGCGAAGGCGGCUUCCUGGACCAAUACUGACACUGAGGUGCGAAAGCGUGGGGAGCAAACAGGAUUAGAGACCCUGGUAGUCCACGCUGUCAACGAUGAGAACUAGCUGUUGGAAAGUUUACUUUCUAGUAGCGAAGCUAACGCGUUAAGUUCUCCGCCUGGGGAGUACGGCCGCAAGGUUAAAACUCAAAGAAAUUGACGGGGGCCCGCACAAGCGGUGGAGCAUGUGGUUUAAUUCGAUGCAACGCGAAGAACCUUACCUACCCUUGACAUCCUCGGAACUUGUCAGAAAAUGACUUGGUGCCUUUGGGAACCGAGUGACAGGUGCUGCAUGGCUGUCGUCAGCUCGUGUCGUGAGAUGUUGGGUUAAGUCCCGUAACGAGCGCAACCCUCGUCCUUAGUUGCCAGCGGUUCGGCCGGGAACUCUAAGGAGACUGCCGGUGAUAAACCGGAGGAAGGUGGGGAUGAUGUCAAGUCAUCAUGGCCCUUACGGGUAG
rnacentral:rRNA from 1 species